GCAGCAGUGGUUCAGUGGUAGAAUUCUUACCUUCCAUGUGGGAGAUCCCGGUUCAAUUCCUGGCUGAUGCA
rnacentral:tRNA from 1 species